GCUUCCAUCUGGAAGAAGUCUGGAGGACAGGUGCUGCAUGGCUGUCGUCAGCUCGUGUCGUGAGAUGUUGGGUUAAGUCCCGCAACGAGCGCAACCCUUGCCUUUAGUUGCCAGCAGUUCGGCUGGGCACUCUAAAGGGACUGCCGGUGUUAAACCGGAGGAAGGUGGGGAUGACGUCAAGUCCUCAUGGCCUUUAUGACCAGGGCUACACACGUACUACAAUGGCCGAUACAAAGGGCAGCGACACUGCGAGGUGAAGCCAAUACCCGUAAAAUCGGUCUCAGUCCGGAUUGGAGUCUGCAACUCGACUCCAUGAAGUUGGAAUCGCUAGUAAUCGUGGAUCAGCAUGCCACGGUGAAUACGUUCCCGGGCCUU
rnacentral:rRNA from 1 species